UUGGCAUACAAGAAGUGAAGAACAGUGGAGAAAACAAUUGAGAAGCAUAAAGAUGGUUAUUUCCUUUAUCUUUUCUUUUUUGGUUGAUUUGGCUUUGACUGAGACUGAGACUUGGAGUUGAAAUCUUACAGCUCUGAAGACUACCACUAAGCUAAAGCUUAAUGUUUAUUUUCCUCUCUCUUUUGCAACCAUGCAUCUGAUAGUGAAAUUGUGGAAGUAAAAAGCAAAUUAGCACAUAAACUCACCUUCAAUUUCUUGCAAACUUCCGG
rnacentral:misc_RNA from 1 species